GAGCAACAUGUGGCUUCUAGAUAUGGAUUGCAGUUCCCAUCAGCCAUAACCUUCAUAGCCAAUGGUGAGGAAUGAUGAGAUUUCCAGUCAAACAACUUCUGGAGUGCUGUGUGUUUCCAUCCCUGCUCAGAAGCUCGAGUUUGGUUUCAAAGGGAGCGUCUAAUAGUCACAGGAAAUAAGAACCUGAAAUGUGCACAACGAAGGAUGCAAAUUGGACAGAGAGUUGGCAGAUGAAACCACAUACCGCCAAUGAUCCCUGCAAAUGCACAUGAAUAUUGAUGACUUGCAUCCUCCUCUUAAAUGUGGGAUUUUUCAGGCCUGGGAUGCUUGCAGCUGCACACUCACAGCUUGGAGCUCUCUGAGAGAACAUUCCUAACCUGGGAAUAUGCAGACCUUUUUCUGACAAUCUCCCGCUGUUCUUCAGUCAAUAAUGAAAACAAUCCUUCCUUCUUCCUCUCUAUCCUGCUGGCAUGGGGACUCCAGCCAAAGAUCGAGCUGGUGCAAUGGAUUGGACUGUAAGAAUAUAUAGUACCUCAUCUUCAGAGUAUUUCCUUUGAUCUCAGCAAGGUAAAAUACAGCUUCUAAUGAUGAUGGAGAAAGCUAUGUACUCAUAAGCAUAAGGCACACUGAAAGGACAUCAGUGCCAUAGUUUAUGGUUUUGUGCAACCAUUAAAGUAAGUAUAGGUGAGAA